ensembl:lncRNA novel transcript
AGAUCAGGCCUGGCUGCCUCCGUGUCCACACCCUGACCUGCGGCUGAGGCCCAUUUCUGUCUCCCGCGGUGAUCCUACCUCCCAGCACGCUCCCAUGUAGCUGUUGAUUGUUCUCCUUCCCUUCCUCCCUUCCUCCCAUCCUUUCUCCCUCUUCCCUGUCUGUGAAUGGCAUUUCUGGAGUGUGAGAGAGGCCCGGGACCGCAGGUAUGUUUCCUGUCUGCCCGUUCUAAUCAAAGGCAGAUGCCUGCGGUGCGUCUGGCCUCGCAGAAGCGGAGAACCCAUCCUCGGAGAGGGGCCAGAGGAGAACUGUGUGCUCCUUUAUAGCUGCAUGCUCGGUGUUCCCCUAACAGGUUCCUGCUGGCACAAAGGGUCCCACCUUUGAAGACCUUUGGGUUUAAAUCCCAGCUCAGUUCCUAACCAGCUGUGUGACAUAGGAAAGUUGCUUAACCUCUCUGAGUCUCAGGAUCGCCAUCUGCAAAAUCAAAGGGCUGAUGGCAACAUCUUCUUCUCAGGACUCAUGGAAAAUUAAACGAGCGCUGCUUCCAAAGAUGUUUGUGCAGGGUGGAAACUCAGCACAGGGUCGUGUCCAUUUCACAGCCUUCCAAGGGCUGCAGCCUAAAUGUCUCCAGCCACGGGAGAGGAUGACAGCUGCCCUUCUGUGGCAGGCCUUGGAGUAAAACUCCCAAACCAUCCCCAGCCAGCAGAGGCUGCCCAGCCCAGCCCCUCCAGCAGGGCGGCUCCAUAGACUACAGGGCAAUACGGCCCAGAGGCUGUCCCUGUCCACUCCUGUUGCGCCAAGCUGGCUCCGGGAGGGGCUGGUGACUGGGAAAGAUGCUACAGACACAAGUUUGAUUUUUCAUUAAAUCCUCUAAACAUUGUGAAAGGAAAAUAAAUAUUGGGACCCCAAAAUCACUAAGCCAAAGGAUAAAGUCAAGCUGGGAACUGCUUAGGGCAAACCUGCCUCCCAUUCUAUUGCUAAAAAAAAAAGAUGGCUACUAAGAUUCAAAAGCUACAUACCUCCCUCACAAGGAAUUUCCUUCUGGACAAAUGACAGACAGAACUCAAAGUCAUCCCUCUGCUCGCCGAGAUAAAUGCAUAUCUGAUUGCCUCCUUUGGAAAGGCUCAUCAGAAACUCAAAAGAGUUUCACUGGGCUCCGUGGCUCAUGCUUGUAAUCCCAGCACUUUGGGAGGCCAAGGUGGGCGGAUCAUGAGGUCAGGAGAUCAAGACCAUCCUGGCUAAAACGGUGAAACCCCGUCUGUACCAAAAAAAUACAAAAAAAUUAGCCAGGCGUGGUGGCGGGUGCCUGUAGUCCCAGCUACUUGGGAGGCUGAGGCAGGAGAAUGGCGUGAACCCAGGAGGCGGAGCUUGCAGUAAGCCGAGAUUGCACCACCGCACUCCAGCCUGGGCGACAGAGCGAGACUCCAUCUCAAAAAAAAAAAAAAAGAAUGCAACCAUUUGUCUCUCACCUACCUAUGGCCUGGAAGCCCCUCCCUGCCUAGAGUUGUCCCGCCUUUCUGGACAGAACCGAUGUACAUCUUACACAUAUUGAUUGAUGUCUCAUGUCUCCCUAAAAUGUAUAUCAUAUGGUUUGGUUGUGUCCCCACCCAAAUCUCAUCUUGAAUUGUAGCUCCCACAGUUCUCAAGUGUUGUGGGAGGGACCCAGUGGGAGAUGAUUGAAUCAUGGGGCCGGUUUCCCCCAUACUGUUCUCGUGGUAGUGAAUAAGUCUCACGAGAUCUGAUGGUUUUAGAAGGGGUUUCCUUUUUGGCUUGGCUCUCAUUUCCCUCUUUGCCUGACACCAUGUAUGACAUGCCUUUCACCUUCCAUGAUUAUGAGGCCUCCCCAGCCAUGUGGAACUGUGUGAGUCCUUUAAACCUCUUUUUCUUUAUAAAUUGCCCAGAUUCGGGUAUGUCUUUAUCGGCAGCAUGAAAACGGUCUAAUACAUGUAUAAAACCAAGCUGUGCCCUGACCACCGUGGGCAAAUGUCAUCAGGACCUCCUGAGGUUGUGUCAUAGGCAUGCGUCCUU